UAACACCUGGCAGGGGAGAUUCCAUGAUCACGAAGGUGGUUUUCCCAGGGCAAGGCUUAUCCAUUGCACUCCAGAUGAGCUGACCCCUGCGAUUUCCCCAAAUGUGGGAAACUUGACUGCAUAAUUUGUGGUAUUGAGUUACUGCGUUCGUGCUUUCCCCUG
rnacentral:snRNA from 1 species